CCAUCGCCAGCUGUAUCGGCCCCUGCGGAUUUCACACGGAUCAUAUAUAUAUCCGACCCUCCCUCACUCACACUCUCUUCUUCAGCACAUUCCCACACUCGAAUCAGAACGCUCCCAUCAACGGCCUCUUCCCUUUUGAACGUUCGUUGCCGAAAUCAAACGCUAGAUAAUUACCAAGCAAUCGGAGGAAGAGAGAGCAGAAUCGAAAGAAGUUUCUCGCCUCCUCUUGAGGAUGAAAAAUCAAGAAGAGAGGAGGACGAGGAACUCUUAUGUCAUUGCGAUUGGUUCCGAUAACAGGAGGGGAAGAGCAAAGCAGUUUCUCUUUAUGAAGCGAUUACUUGGGCAAAAGAAAAGCAGUUGGUCCUGUCAUGGAGGCCGGUGGGAUUUUCGCAUCUGCUUGGAAUACUGGGCAUAAUGAUCCUACAAGUUUUGGGUGUGGAAUCGAUAGUCUUCAGCUUGCUGCUACUUCAAGUUGGCUUACAGGUCAGUUAUGGAAAAAAGUGAGACCUCGUCACUGUCAACCCUUUGGAUUGCAAUUGUAAGAGCUCAUGCUCACCACCGGCAGAUAUUGUCCUUUUUGGAUUUUUCCUUCUAGACUUCCCCUCAAAGUUUUAAAACGCGUAUGUUAGGAACAUAUUUCCACACAAUUAUAAAGAAGGCUUCGUUCUCCUCCCGAAUCGAUGCGGGGGAUCUCACAACGCCAGUGUAACUUAAGAAGUUGCUCAUUUGAGAAAUGUUCUACAAUUAGCAACAAAUCUUAAUGAUAUGACAAUGUGAAUGAUGGUUUGCUUCCUUUUUAUGCCCCAUAAAUUGCUGUAGCACCCAACAAAAAGAAAAGCUUAAACUGCACCGUAGAAGUAGAAGCAUCUAAUGCCCCCCCACCCUUAAAGUUCUACUUUGUAGGGUUGUUGGAGCACAGGAAUGUUCCCCUUCUUGAUUCAACAGCAGCACAGCACAGCAAAAUUAAUGGCACAAUGCCCUCUUUUUGGGCUUCUUUUUUGCAGCUCCCACUGAUGUUAGUGGCAGUGGCUUAAGCAUCUUGCACCAUGUAUAUUCCCUUCCAAACAUUAGUAUAAUGUAAAGGAAUAGGCUAAAGAAAAGAAACAGGGCAGCCUGUUGGUUGUUACCAAAAGGCCAUAUGAUUAUAGCUU